GUUCAUUAUCUAGCCAUCCUUUUAAAUCAUUCCACGUUCAAUUCUCAACCCACUCAAGAUAUUGCCUAUACAACACAAGUAUUAUUCUUACUAGGGUAACUAACCUUACGCAAACCCUUCAAGUUGUUGAACUUUCUAAAUUUAACCACACAUCUUUUCCACAAGUAUAUUACUUCCUCUUAGUAAUAGGUUUAACAUUCAGCCAUACACGAUGCGCUAACUGCUCACAUGAAGAACUACGCACAGGUUAUCACUAUAAGUGAGAGUGAAUGGAGUGAAGCAAUAA
rnacentral:lncRNA from 1 species